GGAGAGGUCGCGUAGUCCGGUCGAGCGCGCGUGAUUGGAAAUCACGUAAAGGGAAACCUUUCGGGGGUUCGAAUCCCCCCCUCUCCGCCA
rnacentral:tRNA from 1 species